rnacentral:tRNA from 1 species
AAGUUUUUAAAUACUAAAUAGAUUAACUAUAUCUGAUUACGGUUCAGCUAGAAUUGUAUUUUUUU